ACGCCGAAGAACCUUACCUGGGCUUGAACUGCAUUGGUUGUAGGUGUUGGAGACAACACUGAGCCUUCGGGCGCUGAUGUAGAGGUGCUGGCAUGGCCUGUCGUCAGCUCCGUUGUCCGUGAGAUGUUGGGUUAAGUCCCGCAACGAGCGCAACCCUUACACUUAGUUGCCAUCAGUUUAGCUGGGCACUCUAAGUGGACUGCCUGGGAUAACCAGGAGGAAAGUGGGGAUGACGUCAAGUCCUCAUGGCCUUUAUGUCCAGGGCUACACACGUGCUACAAUGGGCGAUACAAAGCGGAGCGAAACCGUGAGGUGGAGCGAAUCGCACAAAGUCGUCCUCAGUUCGGAUUGCAGUUGCAACUCGACUGCAUGAAGCUGGAAUCGCUAGUAAUCCCGUAUCAGCAGCGACCGGGGUG
rnacentral:rRNA from 1 species